UACGAAGGGGGCUAGCGUUGUCCGGAAUCAUUGGGCGUAAAGAGCGUGUAGGCGGCCCGGUAAGUCCGCUGUAAAAGUCAAAGGCUCAACCUUUGAAUGUCAGUGGAUACUGCCGGGCUAGAGUCCGGAAGAGGCGAGUGGAACUCCUGGUGUAGCGGUGGAAUGCGCAGAUAUCAGGAAGAACACCAACGGCGAAGGCAGCUCGCUAGGACGGUACUGACGCUGAGACGCGAAAGCGUGGGGAGCGAACAGG
rnacentral:rRNA from 1 species